UACGUAGGGUGCAAGCGUUGUCCGGAAUUACUGGGCGUAAAGCGCGCGCAGGCGGUUUUUCAAGUCAGUGGUGAAAGCCCGGAGCUCAACUCCGGAACUGCCAUUGAAACUGUAAAACUUGAGGAUGAGAGAGGUGAGUGGAAUUCCCAGUGUAGAGGUGAAAUUCGUAGAUAUUGGGAAGAACACCGGUGGCGAAGGCGGCUCACUGGCUCAUAUCUGACGCUCAGGCGCGACAGCGUGGGGAUCAAACAGG
rnacentral:rRNA from 1 species